rnacentral:lncRNA from 1 species
AUGUCUCCCAAGUUCCCCGCACCCAGCGAAGGCACAAAGGCAGGGCGGGACCCAGGGGUGACUGUUUCUCGAGGGCUAGGGCCCGCCGUCGUGCGUGGCGCUGUACAGCGAGGGGAGACGAGCUGGAGGGACAAUGACAAUGUGCUCUCAGCCGUGGGCGUGGGGAGGGCACCGGCCAGCGGGGCUGGGCGGCCUCGUAGAGAUCCACCCGCUCGGGCGGGCGAACGCAGCCGCGGCUCCGCCCUGGGCCUGGCCGGGCUCCACAGGAAACUGCUGCUGCUCCCCUCUCCGCCUGGCCCCGCCGCGGGCUUCGCCUCCAGCCGCCGCCGGGGCUGCGGACCAGCCGCUUUCACUUUCGCCUUCGAGUCGUCUCCGCUGCUGGAGCCCCGGGACCCCCGCGCGCGGUCAGCUUGGGGAACCCCUUCAAGAACAUUGGACCUUUGUAAGUAGGAUCAGCAUUUUGACCGGAACUUGAAUGCCUCAAAGAUUGAAGUGCAGCAGGAACUUGGAUGUCUUGAAAGGUUGCUCAGUAAAUCAUCAAUUCAAGCAGGGCCUGU